rnacentral:lncRNA from 1 species
CUACGAAUGAUUCUACUCUCAGUAUCUGAAUUUUCAUGAACUAUUAUUUUAUUGAACUAGACUCAAAGUGUCAACAAAAUGAUCCAUGCAUGCCUGUUAAUCUGACGAUACACUCUUAAGAGGCGCCACAGACCUGGUUCUAGCAACAAUGUUCUAUAAUCUAUAAAAAUUGCAUUUCGAUUCUCCAAAUAAUCACAUGAUGUAGUAAUUCUCAAGAGAAAAAGUUCCGUCUUUUGUACAGGACUUCCACUACAUUUCUAACACUUAUCUUGUGAUUCCUGUACUCUCAAAGGACUAUUAUUAUUUGACACGGCAAAUAGGUUCUUCUUACUAUUAUUAAUCAUUCCAAACGAUGCAAAGACAGUUUUGAAUUGCUUUUACGCUUGUAAUUACAACUGACACAGAGAGUGUAUGUAUUCCACUGAUGUAUGGAUGAGUGACCCAGUGUAAGUAGUGUAUCUAGCAGUGUAAAUCACGUUGGUCAUAAGGUGUGUGGGCUGGUAACACUACAUAGAGUUCAUUGAAAGUCGCUUUGGAGAAAAGCGUGCGCUAAAUAAAUAAAUGUAAAUGUAAACAUGUAAUGUAAUUAUCAAAAAUCCGGUCGGCUGUCUCUGCUCUUUAUUCUGCACUGGUUCGUAACACACACACAGAGAAAAAAACAGAAACUAAGUAAGUAAGUACAUGUACGAGCCAAGCGCCGACAAAGAGGUUUAGAGGACAGUAAUCCGGCGUCAGCGCGCCGAGCCGCAGCCCGCGUGGAAGGAAGGAAGGAAGGGAUUCGAGCCGCCGAGCAGCUCCGGCUCACAUGGGCUUUGCGGUGAGCAAACAGGCACAAAACGCUCAAAAUGCAGAGGUUCAGAUGGAAUCAAGGGCGUCAGAUUCCCCUGGCGAGGAGCCCUCUUCUUCCCAAGUGACUCCGGGUACCCCGGUGCUCCCCAUCAUCAUCAUCACGGCCCCCUCCCGCGAAGACCUCCUGGCCCCCGCCCCUGCCAGGACCAUCGAAGCUGCAGCUAAGGAGCGCAGGCCGGGGGUCCCAAUCUGCAUUUCCCGCGAGCCUUUAAAAAGAUGA